rnacentral:rRNA from 1 species
GUGGGGAAUUUUUCGCAAUGGGCGCAAGCCUGACGAAGCAACGCCGCGUGGAGGAUGAAGGCCUUCGGGUCGUAAACUCCUGUCGACUGGGACGAAAGCAGUCCGGGCUAAUAUCCCGGGCUGUUGACUGUACCGGUGGAGGAAGCCACGGCUAACUCUGUGCCAGCAGCCGCGGUAAUACAGAGGUGGCAAGCGUUGUUCGGAAUUACUGGGCGUAAAGGGCGCGUAGGCGGCUCGACAAGUCCCGCGUGAAAUCCCCCGGCUCAACUGGGGAACUGCGCGGGAAACUGUCGGACUUGAGUUCGGGAGAGGGAAGCGGAAUUCCGGGUGUAGCGGUGAAAUGCGUAGAUAUCCGGAGGAACACCGGUGGCGAAGGCGGCUUCCUGGACCGACACUGACGCUGAGGCGCGAAAGCUAGGGGAGCAAACGGGAUUAGAUACCCCGGUAGUCC